CUUGCAGUAAACGAUGCCUACAGCGUGGUGUUUUAUAGCAUUACGCAAGCGAAAGCUAGUGUAUGGGCUCCGGGGAUAGUACGGACGCAAGUUUGAAACUUGAAGAAAUUGACGGAAGGACACCACAAG
rnacentral:rRNA from 2 species